rnacentral:rRNA from 1 species
UACAGAGGGUGCGAGCGUUAAUCGGAAUUACUGGGCGUAAAGCGUGCGUAGACGGUUAUUUAAGUCGGGUGUGAAAGCCCCGGGCUCAACCUGGGAAUGGCAAUGGAUACUGGCUCGCUAGAGUGUGAUAGAGGAUGGUGGAAUUCCCGGUGUAGCGGUGAAAUGCGUAGAGAUCGGGAGGAACAUCAGUGGCGAAGGCGGCCAUCUGGAUCAACACUGACGCUGAGGCACGAAAGCGUGGGGAGCAAACAGG